CUGGCUUCCUCCGCUGUUGGUAAUUAUACACCCUGUGAAAAACUCUGGAAGGCAUGUGUGGAUGACAACUUUAGGAAGAAUCUAGAUUAAAGAUCUGAGUGGAGGACUGGGUAGAGGCUACCGAAUUCCGGAGGAUGGGAACCACAGUAGGCACAUUGCUUUUUUGAGAAAGGAUACUAAUACUGAUACUAAUUUGAGACAGUAAUACUAAUAAAAUUGGGACUAAUAAAAGAGGUUCACUGCCCUGGCUGGUGUAGCUUGGUGGAUUGAAUGCCAGCCUGUGAACCAAAGGGUCGCAGCUGAGAUUCCCAGUCAGGGCACAUGCCUGGGUUGCAGGCCAGGUCCUCAGUUGGGGGUGUAUGAGAGGCAACCACACAUUGAUGUUUCCUUCUUUUUCUCCCUCCCUUUGCCUCUCUCUGAAAGUAAAUAAAUAAAAUCUAAAAAAAUAAAAUAAAAGAGGUUCACUAUGCAAAAUAGUGUAGCCCAAAUACUGGGAGAUGUUUAAAACAAUCUUUGCCUAUAGAGGCUCAUGAAGCAGGGAAGUCAGAUACUUAGACAGUUACAGGUAAAGACAAACCAGUAAUGAGUGUGCAAGGAGGGGCCCUCCAUGGUAAGGAGCUAUCCUGGAAGGCUUCACGGAGGAGAAGGGUCAGGGAUCAUUAACCAGGGAAGUGCAGGGAGGAUGGGCCCUGGGCAGAGAGAGGAAUGGCAAGAUUGGGGAGAGGAAGUCCUCAGCGCUGCAUUUUGCCAGGCCUCCCUUGUUUCAUCAUCAGGAACGUGCCAGCACAGUCAACCUGCUGCCCUUCACCCUCGCCGGAUCUGCCGGUUGCUCACUGGGUUGCCCCUUUGCAACCCCACGCCUGGCAUCGGCGCACCUGAGUCCGUCUGACCGAGUUUUCCUGUGCAACCCUGCUCUGCCAGCUGCUGGUUUCACCCCUCUUACCGGUCAGGCUGAAGAAUUCGUUGUUAUCAGACUUCCAAAAAGAUGGUUCUACCUGUCCAAGGUGAAGGCCAAGUUGGAUUUUGAAGUGUUGGCUACCUGGCAACAUUUCUGGAUCUGUGUCCUCCAAAGGCAUCAGUCAAGGGACAUCACUUCAAUAAUGAAACAAAAUCCAGAACUCUCAAGUUGGCUAAUAAUGCUUGAUUUCACACUGGCAGGGGAGAUGCCAUGAUCACAAAGGUGGUUUUCCUGGAGCGGGGCUGAUCCAUUGCACUCCAGAUGUGCCGACUCCUGUGAUUUUCCCAAAUGUGGGAAACUCGACUGCAUAAGUUGUGGCAGUGGGGGACUGUGUUCGCACUUUUCUCUGGGGAAAAAAGAAAAACCAACACUUGAUUUCCGAUAGGGAGGGGCGACUCAGCUUCUGUCUCUAGCUCCACUCUCCCCAUCCUGGAGAUCUCAGCCCCACAGCAUCACACCCCCUCUCCAUUACAGGUAUUUCCUAACAUACUCCUUACUAUCUUGAAAUGAAUCGGCAAACAAGGAAUACGAUUCAGGGCUGUUGUAUUUUUAACAGAUGGUGCUGAGACAACUGGACAUGUAAAUGAAAAAAGAUAAACUUAGACCUUUACCUCACUCCAUAAUUAA